rnacentral:tRNA from 1 species
GGGGGUGUAGCUCAGCUGGGAGAGCAUUACGUUCGCAACGUAGGGGUCGAGGGUUCGAAUCCCUUCAUCUCCACCA